rnacentral:rRNA from 1 species
ACAGCAGCAGCCGCGGUAAUACGUAGGUGGCAAGCGUUGUCCGGAAUUAUUGGGCGUAAAGGGCUCGCAGGCGGUUUCUUAAGUCUGAUGUGAAAGCCCCCGGCUCAACCGGGGAGGGUCAUUGGAAACUGGGAAACUUGAGUGCAGAAGAGGAGAGUGGAAUUCCACGUGUAGCGGUGAAAUGCGUAGAGAUGUGGAGGAACACCAGUGGCGAAGGCGACUCUCUGGUCUGUAACUGACGCUGAGGAGCGAAAGCGUGGGGAGCGAACAGGAUUAGAUACCCCAGUAGUCCCUGUCUCUUAUAC